rnacentral:lncRNA from 1 species
AAUGAAAAGGAACGGAGCAACAGGAUGCUUGUGUUCCUACCUGCACUUAUCGGCCUUCCAGGUCACCUUUUAUCACAGAUGUGCUCAAGAAACUCCAUAUUUUCAAGAGGAUUUACACAGAAGCACAACAGAAAUAUAAGACUUGCUCAAAUCAAUGAACCAUCUACUUUCAAGUUUCAGGCACACUGUUAAUAUUUUUGGGAGCAGCCCCCUCACAUUAUUCACUGCCGUUCUGGAGAUGGAUGACAGCAGCCCAUGAAAUACUAUUGCAGACAAGCUGAGGUUGUUAUUAAAGAGUGAUGGAAAUUGAUACAGUCACUCUAAACAAUGCCCUUUGCCUCUUGUUUCUGCUUUUUUGCAUUCUUCAUGGGGUUGGGGGGGGGAAGGUUAUUUUGUGUUAGAAAUACUCUC